rnacentral:rRNA from 1 species
CCUACGGGUGGCAGCAGUGAGGAAUAUUGGUCAAUGGACGAGAGUCUGAACCAGCCAAGUAGCGUGAAGGAUGACUGCCCUAUGGGUUGUAAACUUCUUUUAUAUGGGAAUAAAGUGUUCCACGUGUGGGAUUUUGUAUGUACCAUAUGAAUAAGGAUCGGCUAAUUCCGUGCCAGCAGCCGCGGUAAUACGGAAGGUCCGGGCGUUAUCCGGAUUUAUUGGGUUUAAAGGGAGCGUAGGUGGGUUGUUAAGUCAGAUGGGAAAAGCACGGGCUCAACCUGGGCCCUGCAGUGGAAACUGUAUUGCUGGAGUACUGGAGAGGCAGACGGAAUUCGUCGUGUAGCGGUGAAAUGCGUAGAUAUGAGGAGGAACACCGGUUGCGAAGGCGGUCUGCUG